rnacentral:rRNA from 1 species
GAUGAACGCUGGCGGCGUGCCUAAUACAUGCAAGUCGAGCGAACGGACGAGAAGCUUGCUUCUCUGAUGUUAGCGGCGGACGGGUGAGUAACACGUGGAUAACCUACCUAUAAGACUGGGAUAACUUCGGGAAACCGUAGCUAAUACCGGAUAAUAUUUUGAACCGCAUGGUUCAAAAGUGAAAGACGGUCUUGCUGUCACUUAUAGAUGGAUCCGCGCUGCAUUAGCUAGUUGGUAAGGUAACGGCUUACCAAGGCAACGAUGCAUAGCCGACCUGAGAGGGUGAUCGGCCACACUGGAACUGAGACACGGUCCAGACUCCUACGGGAGGCAGCAGUAGGGAAUCUUCCGCAAUGGGCGAAAGCCUGACGGAGCAACGACGCGUGAGUGAUGAAGGUCUUCGGAUCGUAAAACUCUGUUAUUAGGGAAGAACAUAUGUGUAAGUAACUGUGCACAUCUUGACGGUACCUGAUCAGAAAGCCACGGCUAACUACGUG